UAUAAUCGAAAUCCGCUAUGAAUCGUUUUACUGAUACCGAAAUCUUAUCAUUGACGAAAAACUGUUUAUUACUGUUCUAUAAUCAUUUCACUAAUUAGUUUUUUGGUCAUUCGGUAGGUAUGUCCAAUAAUAAGUUACCUAUUAAGAUAAAAUAAUAAAUAAUUGGGAUAUAAAGUACAAUAAUAAUUAUCAAUAUUGUUACUCAGUGGCGUGGCGAAGUGAAAUAUUUUAUCGGGGAAUUCAUUUUUUUUUAAUGGCCUACUACCACCCCUCAACUCUUAGGCAUUGAUCAUUAUCAUUACCCAUGAAUAAACUAAAAUGAUAGUUUAAAUUGCCAUAUUCCUUGUUGUUUUUUACAGUAUUCUGGGCUGAUGGCUUUUCCUUGAAUACUUAUUAUUAAUUUUAUUAUUCUUAUUUAAUAUCAUAUGACAUAUUCUGAUGAAGUUAAUCUUGUACUACAAUUUUUCCACACACU